rnacentral:rRNA from 1 species
UAAGCGGAGGAAAAGAAACUAACAAGGAUUCCCCUAGUAGCGGCGAGCGAAGCGGGAAGAGCUCAAAUUUAUAAUCUGGCGCUUUCAGCGUCCGAGUUGUAAUCUCUAGAAGUGUUUUCCGCGUUGGACCGCACACAAGUCUGUUGGAAUACAGCGGCACAGUGGUGAGACCCCCGUAUACGGUGCGGAUGCCCAAUGCUUUGUGAUACACUUUCGAAGAGUCGAGUUGUUUGGGAAUGCAGCUCAAAUUGGGUGGUAAAUUCCAUCUAAAGCUAAAUAUUGGCGAGAGACCGAUAGCGAACAAGUACCGUGAGGGAAAGAUGAAAAGCACUUUGGAAAGAGAGUUAACAGUACGUGAAAUUGUUGGAAGGGAAACGCUUGAAGUCAGACUUGCUAUUCGGGUUUACUCGAGUUGCAGGCCAGCAUCAGUUUUCUGGGGUGGAAAAUCACGGUUUGAAGGUAGCAACUUCGGUUGUGUUAUAGCUUUCCGUUGGAUACAUCCUGGGGGACUGAGGAUCGCAGUGUGCUUUUAGCAGGAGCUUCGGCUUCAUCACACUUAGGAUGCUGGUGUAAUGGCUUUAAACGACCCGUCUUGAAACACG